rnacentral:rRNA from 1 species
ACGGGAGGCAGCAGUGGGGAAUAUUGGGCAAUGGGCGCAAGCCUGACCCAGCAACGCCGCGUGAAGGAAGAAGGCUUUCGGGUUGUAAACUUCUUUUAUCAGGGACGAAGAAAGUGACGGUACCUGAUGAAUAAGCCACGGCUAACUACGUGCCAGCAGCCGCGGUAAUACGUAGGGGGCGAGCGUUGUCCGGAAUGAUUGGGCGUAAAGGGCGCGUAGGCGGCCCGUUAAGUCUGGAGUGAAAGUCCUGCUUUUAAGGUGGGAAUUGCUUUGGAUACUGAUGGGCUCGAGUGCAGGAGAGGAAAGCGGAAUUACCGGUGUAGCGGUGAAAUGCGUAGAGAUCGGUAGGAACACCAGUGGCGAAGGCGGCUUUCUGGACUGAAACUGACGCUGAGGCGCGAAAGCGUGGGGAGCAAACAGGAUUAGAUACCCUGGUA